rnacentral:rRNA from 1 species
UUACCCUGAAUGUGCCUGAUUUCAUCUAAUCUUGGAAGCUAAGCAGAGUCAGGCCUGGUUGUUACUUGAAUGGGAGAGGAACUGUUUAAAUCAGGU